GCAAACUUGGUCAUUUAGAGGAAGUAAAAGUCGUAACAAGGUCUCCGUUGGUGAACCAGCGGAGGGAUCAUUACAGAGUGUAAAAACUCCCAAACCCAUUGUGAACAUACCACUGUUGCUUCGGCGGGACCGCCCCGGGCGCGCGAACCCUCUCCCACCGCGGAGUGGGGCCGCGCUCCCCGGAACCAGGCGCCCGCCGGGGGACCGAAACUCUAAGUCUUACAGCGAGUAUCUCUGAGUGUGAUUGACAACAAUCAAAUUAAAACUUUCAACAACGGAUCUCUUGGCUCUGGCAUCGAUGAAGAACGCAGC
rnacentral:misc_RNA from 1 species